rnacentral:rRNA from 1 species
UACAGUGGCGAUGGCAGUAAGGAUACACCUGUUCCCAUACCGAACACAGAAGUUAAGCUUACUAACGCCGAUGGUACUCGGAGGGUGACCUCCCGGUAGAGUAGGAAGCUGCUGAAC